rnacentral:rRNA from 1 species
AGACCCGAAACCCGGUGAUCUAGCCAUGGGCAGGUUGAAGGUUGGGUAACACUAACUGGAGGACCGAACCGACUAAUGUUGAAAAAUUAGCGGAUGACCUGUGGCUGGGGGUGAAAGGCCAAUCAAACCGGGAGAUAGCUGGUUCUCCCCGAAAGCUAUUUAGGUAGCGCCUCGUGAAUUCAUCUCCGGGGGUAGAGCACUGUUUCGGCUAGGGGGCCAUCCCGGCUUACCAACCCGAUGCAAACUGCGAAUACCGGAGAAUGUUAUCACGGGAGACACACGGCGGGUGCUAACGUCCGUCGUGAAGAGGGAAACAACCCAGACCGCCAGCUAAGGUCCCAAAGUCAUGGUUAAGUGGGAAACGAUGUGGGAAGGCCCAGACAGCCAGGAUGUUGGCUUAGAAGCAGCCAUCAUUUAAAGAAAGCGUAAUAGCUCACUGGUCGAGUCGGCCUGCGCGGAAGAUGUAACGGGGCUAAACCAUGCACCGAAGCUGCGGCAGCGAACGUAUCACCCAAGACAACUUUACGGAGUUGACGAUUGACGGAGCGAAGCGACGUCAAAGCGUUCAUUAAAGUCGAGUUGGCUUAGGGAUACGUUCGUUGGGUAGGGGAGCGUUCUGUAAGCCUGUGAAGGUGUGUCGUGAGGCAUGCUGGAGGUAUCAGAAGUGCGAAUGCUGACAUAAGUAACGAUAAAGCGGGUGAAAAGCCCGCUCGCCGGAAGACCAAGGGUUCCUGUCCAACGUUAAUCGGGGCAGGGUGAGUCGACCCCUAAGGCGAGGCCGAAAGGCGUAGUCGAUGGGAAACGGGUUAAUAUUCCCGUACUUGGUGUUACUGCGAAGGGGGGACGGAGAAGGCUAUGUUGGCCGGGCGACGGUUGUCCCGGUUUAAGCGUGUAGGUGUGUGUUCCAGGUAAAUCCGGUUCACUUUAACACUGAGGCGUGACGACGAGGCACUACGGUGCUGAAGCAACAAAUGCCCUGCUUCCAGGAAAAGCCUCUAAGCAUCAGGUAACACGAAAUCGUACCCCAAACCGACACAGGUGGUCAGGUAGAGAAUACCAAGGCGCUUGAGAGAACUCGGGUGAAGGAACUAGGCAAAAUGGUGCCGUAACUUCGGGAGAAGGCACGCUGACACGUAGGUGAAGUGAUUUACUCAUGGAGCUGAAGUCAGUCGAAGAUACCAGCUGGCUGCAACUGUUUAUUAAAAACACAGCACUGUGCAAACACGAAAGUGGACGUAUACGGUGUGACGCCUGCCCGGUGCCGGAAGGUUAAUUGAUGGGGUCAGCGUAAGCGAAGCUCCUGAUCGAAGCCCCGGUAAACGGCGGCCGUAACUAUAACGGUCCUAAGGUAGCGAAAUUCCUUGUCGGGUAAGUUCCGACCUGCACGAAUGGCGUAAUGAUGGCCAGGCUGUCUCCACCCGAGACUCAGUGAAAUUGAACUCGCUGUGAAGAUGCAGUGUACCCGCGGCAAGACGGAAAGACCCCGUGAACCUUUACUAUAGCUUGACACUGAACAUUGAGCCUUGAUGUGUAGGAUAGGUGGGAGGCUUUGAAGUGUGGACGCCAGUCUGCAUGGAGCCGACCUUGAAAUACCACCCUUUAAUGUUUGAUGUUCUAACGUGGACCCGUAAUCCGGGUUGCGGACAGUGUCUGGUGGGUAGUUUGACUGGGGCGGUCUCCUCCUAAAGAGUAACGGAGGAGCACGAAGGUUGGCUAAUCCUGGUCGGACAUCAGGAGGUUAGUGCAAUGGCAUAAGCCAGCUUGACUGCGAGCGUGACGGCGCGAGCAGGUGCGAAAGCAGGUCAUAGUGAUCCGGUGGUUCUGAAUGGAAGGGCCAUCGCUCAACGGAUAAAAGGUACUCCGGGGAUAACAGGCUGAUACCGCCCAAGAGUUCAUAUCGACGGCGGUGUUUGGCACCUCGAUGUCGGCUCAUCACAUCCUGGGGCUGAAGUAGGUCCCAAGGGUAUGGCUGUUCGCCAUUUAAAGUGGUACGCGAGCUGGGUUUAGAACGUCGUGAGACAGUUCGGUCCCUAUCUGCCGUGGGCGCUGGAGAACUGAGGGGGGCUGCUCCUAGUACGAGAGGACCGGAGUGGACGCAUCACUGGUGUUCGGGUUGUCAUGCCAAUGGCACUGCCCGGUAGCUAAAUGCGGAAGAGAUAAGUGCUGAAAGCAUCUAAGCACGAAACUUGCCCCGAGAUGAGUUCUCCCUGAGACUUAGAGUCUCCUGAAGGAACGUUGAAGACGACGACGUUGAUAGGCCGGGUGUGUAAGCGCAGCGAUGCGUU